rnacentral:misc_RNA from 1 species
GGAUGAAGAACGCAGUGAAAUGCGAUACUUGGUGUGAAUUGCAGAAUCCCGUGAACCAUCGAGUCUUUGAACGCAAGUUGCGCCCGAAGCCACUAGGCCGAGGGCACGCCUGCCUGGGCGUCACACGCCGUUGCCCCCCCAUCUACUCCUUCGGGAUUGCGGGGGGGCGGAUGAUGGCCUCCCGUGCGCCUAGCCGCGCGGUUGGCAUAAAUACCAAGUCCUCGGCGACGCACGCCACGACAAUCGGUGGUUGCGAAACCUCGGUUGCCCGUCGUGUGCGUUCGUCGCGCAUCGAGGGCUCGAAAAAAUGCUCGGCUCCGGCUGGGCUUUCAACGCGACCCCAGGUCAGGCGGGGUUACCCGCUUAAUUUAAGCAUAUCAAUAAGCGGAGGA